rnacentral:rRNA from 1 species
UACGUAGGGGGCAAGCGUUGUCCGGAUUUAUUGGGCGUAAAGAGCGUGUAGGCGGCGCGGUAAGUCGGGUGUGAAAUCUCGGAGCUUAACUCCGAAACUGCAUUCGAUACUGCCGUGCUUGAGGACUGGAGAGGAGACUGGAAUUUACGGUGUAGCGGUGAAAUGCGUAGAUAUCGUAAGGAAGACCAGUGGCGAAGGCGGGUCUCUGGGCCGAUACUGACGCUGAGGAGCGAAAGCGUGGGGAGCGAACAGG